AGCUAUUUCAAUUAUAGUUUUAGAUAAAUUUAGCAUAGCAGUAGCCUCGUGGGGAGCUUUUAGCGACAGCUGCAAAUGCAAAUGAAAAUUUAGAAUAUGCAAAAUUUGGUUGUUGGUGAAACCAUUUAAUUGUCUCGUGUAGCAUCGUGCAGCAUCACAAUAAAUAGAUAAAUUGCAUCAGUUUCACAAGUCACGUUUCUGGUGUGUUAGGCUUGUUUCAAACGUCACGCUACUCGUGUGCCGAGCGUAUUAAAAGCAAUAAAUAAUGAGAUGAAUUGCCUUUGGUAACUGUUUAUUUCGUAGUGUAAGCCAUCAGCUUUUCUAGGUUGUCGGCGACCAUAUAUAGUUCUUGCAGUGUCUUUUUCAAUUCGAAACUUCACACUAUCCUUGGAUCCCUAGUU